rnacentral:rRNA from 1 species
AUGCACGCUGACAGAAUGCUUAACACAUGCAAGUCAUUGGCGAAGCUGCGCUUGCGCAGUCUAGCCAAGGCGGACGGGUGAGUAACGCGUAAGGAACUUGCCCUGCAGACAGGGAUAACAGACGGAAACGACUGAUAACACCUGGUAUUGUCAGGCUGGCGCAUGCCGGCCUGAUGAAAGGAGACGCUGCAGGAGAGCCUUGCGUCCUAUUAGCUAGUUGGUGGGGUAACGGCCCACCAAGGCGAUGAUAGGUAGCCGGCCUGAGAGGGUGAACGGCCACAAGGGGACUGAGAUACGGCCCUUACUCCUACGGGAGGCAGCAGUGGGGAAUAUUGGACAAUGGGGGCAACCCUGAUCCAGCAAUUCUGUGUGCACGAAGAAGGUUUUCGGAUUGUAAAGUGCUUUCAGCAGGGAAGAAGAAAGUGACGGUACCUGCAGAAGAAGCGACGGCUAAAUACGUG